UAUAAUUGAAUGAUUUUUUGAUAAUUCCCUAUGGCUUUUCAAAUCAGUUGGAUAAACCGGAAGGGCUGCAUGAUGUCAGAAUUAACAAGUGUUAGUGGAUUAAGUUUCACAAAAAAAUUUACAGAUUUAGUGAUUUCCUGACGGGGAUAGAGAUCUAGUGAAACUCGACUCACAAAUAGAAAUUAUUCAUGAAGGCUUGGCAGUAAAAGCAUAAAUUUGGUCUCAUUUGAAAGCAGACACUUGGAAGUUUGUAAAGUCCAAAUUAACUGAUGUCAUUGUCACACGGUGACGUUUUGAAGGGCGGAACCGAAGGUAAGAAGGAUGAGUUCCGCCCGGAAGGAAGAAAAACAUCGGAACUUCCGGGUUUGUCCCGAAGCCCAAAUCAGCCCGUAUUAGGUGCAGGUGGGGGUAAUAAACGAAGCGAUCGCUGAUAGGACACCGAGGAGGAAGAGCCGCAGAUAUAAGGAGGUUUGAAAUCACAAUCGGUGUGCUUCUUGGUUGUGCUUCUCUGUGGUGCCGGUGUUGGUGUACUGUUGGCUGUGUUAGAGGCUAGAGAGCGACGAUCUAGUUCCCUUGGGGAAGAAAGAAAUAGGAAGAGGUGGAUGUUUGCUGUGAGGAGGAAUUUAUACGAGGAUAACUGGGUGAAGAAAGCAACAUGAGACGGGUUGACAUGUGAGUACAGCUGGGAUGUUGUACAUACGUUGCAGAGGUGAAAUUAUUGUGCGUGUUUGGAGUGUCUAUUUAUAGUUCCGGCCCCACCGGAGGAAUAAGCGUGGGUGAGCUGAUGAACGUCUAGUGUAUACGAAGAACAAAUCCAGAAGUAAUCGCUUUCCACCUGUCCUGUGUGUUGGAAAUUUCGGCCGACGAGCCACAGGAGGAAUCUGAGAUUUUCUGUCUAUGUCCUUACCUCACAACGAGUGUGUGCGUGUGAUGCUGUGGGUGAGUCCCGAUUUUCAAUUUGUGUGUUUUCACUGAAGCUUGCAGUGUAGUGCUGUGCUUUUCUUUUGGAGAUUAAGACCGUUUCAUCCCAGAGGCUCCGUGUGAAAAUAACAAUGUGUCGAAUUGACCAGCGCAGUGGAUAGGAAUUACUUGCCUGUAACACUAGUGUGAUUUGUGGAGGAACCAGAAAGCCCCAGUCUUGAACCUGUGGAGAAACCAGAAAGCCCCAGUCUGUGAGUCACGCACUUCUAUGAAUGCUAACUUACCUCUGCUCUUAGCAACCCUGUGCAGAACGGUCCAAAACCCCAAGUUGUGAGUAAUGUAUGCUAUGUGAUGAUCAUCUACCUCUGUCCUCAGUGAACCUGUGGAGAAACCAGAAAGCCCAGUCUGUGAGUCAAGCACUUCUAUGAAUGCUAACUGACCCCUGCUCCUAGAAAUCCUGUGUAGAACGAUCCAGAGCCCUAAGUUGUGAGUAACGUGUGUUAUUAAACGACCACUUACCUCUGUCCUCAGUGAACCUGUGGAGAAACCAGAAAGCCCAGUCUGUGAGUCACGCACUUCUACGAAUGCUAACUUGCCUUUGCUCCGAACCAACCUGUGCAGAGAGAUUCUAAAGCUCCAGUCUGUGAGUAACGCAUGCUAUUGAGGACAACCGACCUCUGCUUACAGUAAGGCCGCAAGGAGGAGCCAAGUGUUCCAGAGCCGGGGAACCAUCUAGCCCUUUAUUCAUUGUGUCUUUUGUGUUCUGCCUCCAGGACAGCGGAGGGCGCCACGGACAACAGGGAAACCCCCAGAUAGGGACCCCACCCUUUCACGUCUUGCGGAGACCCGUCUGAAACCAGAGAGAGAAACAAAGUGUUUUAAAGUGUCCUUCCCCUUUUUCCCGUUCCCCGUUUUUUAACUAUUUAAAUAAAGUUGUAUUUUAAACGUA